rnacentral:misc_RNA from 1 species
CUUUAAUUGAAAUGGGUGGUAACUUUAAUACUUACUCAUGAUCAUCACUUGUAUUAGUGGUCGCUGGUGCUGGUGCUGGUGGCAGCGCCAUCAACAAUGCAGGACUCUGUUGCUGUUGCUGUUGCUGUGGGGGUCUCUUUCUCUUCUUUUUCUCGUAGCUAAUCCCUCGAGCUUUAGAUUGUGAAUCUCUAACUUCACGUAGAUAAA